rnacentral:rRNA from 1 species
AGCGAACGCUGGCGGCAGGCUUAACACAUGCAAGUCGAACGGUCCUUCGGGAUAGUGGCGGACGGGUGAGUAACACGUGGGAACGUACCCUUAGGUUCGGAACAACACAGGGAAACUUGUGCUAAUACCGGAUAAGCCCUUCGGGGGAAAGAUUUAUCGCCUUUGGAGCGGCCCGCGUCUGAUUAGCUUGUUGGUGAGGUAAUGGCUCACCAAGGCUACGAUCAGUAGCUGGUCUGAGAGGAUGGCCAGCCACACUGGGACGGAGACACGGACCAGACUCCUCCGGGAGGCAGCAGUGGGGAAUCUUGCGCAAUGGGCGAAAGCCUGACGCAGCCAUGCCGCGUGGAUGAUGAAGGUCUUAGGAUUGUAAAAUCCUUUCACCGGGGACGAUAAUGACGGUACCCGGAGAAGAAGCCCCGGCUAACUUCGUGCCAGCCGCCGCCGUAA